rnacentral:rRNA from 1 species
GACCAGACUCCUACGGGAGGCAGCAGUGGGGAAUAUUGCACAAUGGGGGAAACCCUGAUGCAGCGACGCCGCGUGAGCGAUGAAGUAUUUCGGUAUGUAAAGCUCUAUCAGCAGGGAAGAAAAUGACGGUACCUGACUAAGAAGCCCCGGCUAACUACGUGCCAGCAGCCGCGGUAAUACGUAGGGGGCAAGCGUUAUCCGGAUCUACUGGGUGUAAAGGGAGCGUAGACGGCUGUGCAAGCCAGAUGUGAAAGCCCGGGGCUCAACCCCGGGACUGCAUUUGGAACUGUGUGGCUGGAGUGUCGGAGAGGCAGGCGGAAUUCCUAGUGUAGUGGUGAAAUGCGUAGAUAUUAGGAGGAACACCAGUGGCGAAGGCGGCCUGCUGGACGAUGACUGACGUUGAGGCUCGAAAGCGUGGGGAGCAAACAGGAUUAGAUACCCCAGUAA